rnacentral:snRNA from 1 species
GUGCUCAUUUUAGCAGUACAUUCAAAGAACAGAGAGAUUAGCAUGGCCCCUGCACAAAAGGAUGACAUGCAAAUUUACGAAGUAUGUCCUAGAGAC